UCAAACUUGGUCAUUUAGAGGAAGUAAAAGUCGUAACAAGGUUUCCGUAGGUGAACCUGCGGAAGGAUCAUCACUGAUGUGUCCUCUGAGGACGCGUUUUCUAUCCAUCUACCCUUGUGAACUGUAUGUGGAGUGAGUUGUUUUGGCAGGCAGGGCUAGGGUUAGGGGUGCGGCUUGUGCUGUGCGCACGAGUAGUCUCCCCCCCCUACCCGUGUCUCUCUGCUGCGGCAUGCAACAGAUGAGCGACUGCCAUCCGCUCGCGUUUUACCAUAAACCUUUAAAAACACUACUCUUACUGAAACAAAUACAAUAAACAAAUACAACUUUCAACAAUGGAUCUCUUGGCUCUCGCAUCGAUGAAGAACGCAGC
rnacentral:misc_RNA from 1 species